UCGAGGAUCUUUCGCAAUGAGCGAAAGCUUGACGAAGCGACGCUGUGUGAGGGAUGAAGGCCUUCGGGUUGUAAACCUCUUUCGCUUGGGGACAAGAGAGCCUAGUGAAUAGCUAGGUGAUUUGAGGGUACCAGGUAAAGAAGUACUGGCUAACUACGUGCCAGCAGCUGCGGUAAUACGUAGGGUACAAGCAUUAAUCGGAAUGAUUGGGCGUAAAGGGCGCGUAGGCGGUUUAGUAAGUCAGAUGUGAAAUUCCAGAACUCAAUUUUGGAGCUGCAUAUGAAACUACUAGACUAAAGAGGGAAGACGGAGAAAGCGGAACUCCACGUGUAGCGGUGAAAUGCGUAGAUAUGUGGAAGAACACCUGUGGCGAAAGCGGCUUUCUAGUUUUAACCUGACGCUGAGGCGCGAGAGCAAGGGGAGCAAACAGGAUUAGAUACCCCCGUAGUCC
rnacentral:rRNA from 1 species